UCUGCCUAUAGUGGGGGACAACAUGGUGAAAACCAUGCUAAUACCGCAUACGCCCUACGGGGGAAAGCGGGGGAUCUUCGGACCUCGCGCUAAUAGAUGAGCCUGCGUUAGAUUAGCUAGUUGGUGGGGUAAAGGCUCACCAAGGCGACGAUCUAUAGCUGGUCUGAGAGGACGAUCAGCCACACUGGGACUGAGACACGGCCCAGACUCCUACGGGAGGCAGCAGUGGGGAAUAUUGGACAAUGGGCGGAAGCCUGAUCCAGCAAUACCGCGUGUGUGAAGAAGGCCUGAGGGUUGUAAAGCACUUUCAAUUGGGAGGAAAACAGGCAGGUUAAUAUCCUGUCUCUUGACAUUACCUUUAGAAGAAGCACCGGCUAACUCCGUGCCAGCAGCCGCGGUAAUACGGAGGGUGCGAGCGUUAAUCGGAAUUACUGGGCGUAAAGAGUUCGUAGGUGGUUUGUUAAGUUAGAUGUGAAAGCCCCGGGCUCAACCUGGGAACUGCAUUUAAAACUGGCAAACUCGAGUUUAGGAGAGGGAAGUGGAAUUUCAGGUGUAGCAGUGAAAUGCGUAGAGAUCUGAAGGAACACCAGUGGCGAAGGCGACUUCCUGGACUAAAACUGACGCUGAGGAACGAAAGCGUGGGUAGCAAACGGGAUUAGAUACCCCGGUAGUCCACGCCGUAAACGAUGUCAACUAGCCGUUGGGU
rnacentral:rRNA from 2 species